UGAGAUUCUUAUCCUGAAUGCUUUAUUCUAUUUUUGCCAAGACACUUCUCCUUAAUAUGUUCAAUAUUCAUAAUAAAUUUGUUGCGGUAGAAUUACAUGAUUUCUAAACAUUUUGGUUCAUAAUACCAAUUUGCUGUAUCAUGGGGUUUAUUAGAAAUCCUAAUGCAUUUCUAAUCAGGAUUGUUUCUAAUGGUGAUUAAAUCUGUCAUAGCGUCAACAGGUUAAAGACGAUGUACCCUUUUCCCGUUUGGAUACCAACCAUUGCAUUCAACAAUAAUUUUUUGCUUACUACAAACCGUAAGAAGCUGAAGCUUACUGAUUUGGGGCUUGCACGAGAGGAAACUGUAACUGAAAUGAUGACGACUGAAACUGGGACAUACCGAUAUGGACACAGAGUUCGCUGAAGAUAGAGCUCUGGCAUUGUAUUGAAUCUCAACUCCGCAUG